rnacentral:rRNA from 1 species
AGUCGAACGGUGACGGAGGGGCUUGCUUCUCCUGAUCAGUGGCGAACGGGUGAGUAACACGUGAGUAACCUGCCCUUGACUCUGGGAUAACUCCGGGAAACCGGGGCUAAUACUGGAUACGAAGCGCCUCGGCAUCGGGUGCGCUUGGAAAGUUUUUCGGUCAAGGAUGGACUCGCGGCCUAUCAGCUUGUUGGCGGGGUAACGGCCCACCAAGGCGUCGACGGGUAGCCGGCCUGAGAGGGCGACCGGCCACACUGGGACUGAGACACGGCCCAGACUCCUACGGGAGGCAGCAGUGGGGAAUAUUGCACAAUGGGCGAAAGCCUGAUGCAGCGACGCCGCGUGAGGGAUGAAGGCCUUCGGGUUGUAAACCUCUUUCAGUAGGGAAGAAGCGAAAGUGACGGUACCUGCAGAAGAAGCGCCGGCUAACUACGUGCCAGCAGCCGCGGUAAUACGUAGGGCGCAAGCGUUGUCCGGAAUUAUUGGGCGUAAAGAGCUCGUAGGCGGUUUGUCGCGUCUGGUGUGAAAACUCAAGGCUCAACCUUGAGCUUGCAUCGGGUACGGGCAGACUAGAGUGCGGUAGGGGUGACUGGAAUUCCUGGUGUAGCGGUGGAAUGCGCAGAUAUCAGGAGGAACACCGAUGGCGAAGGCAGGUCUCUGGGCCGCAACUGACGCUGAGGAGCGAAAGCAUGGGGAGCGAACAGGAUUAGAUACCCUGGUAGUCCAUGCCGUAAACGUUGGGCACUAGGUGUGGGGCUCAUUCCACGAGUUCCGUGCCGCAGCAAACGC